AGAGUUUGAUCAUGGCUCAGGAUGAACGCUAGCGACAGGCUUAACACAUGCAAGUCGAGGGGCAGCAUGAUUUGUAGCAAUACAGAUUGAUGGCGACCGGCGCACGGGUGAGUAACGCGUAUGCAACUUACCUAUCAGAGGGGGAUAGCCCGGCGAAAGUCGGAUUAAUACCCCAUAAAACAGGGGUCCCGCAUGGGAAUAUUUGUUAAAGAUUCAUCGCUGAUAGAUAGGCAUGCGUUCCAUUAGGCAGUUGGCGGGGUAACGGCCCACCAAACCGACGAUGGAUAGGGGUUCUGAGAGGAAGGUCCCCCACAUUGGUACUGAGACACGGACCAAACUCCUACGGGAGGCAGCAGUGAGGAAUAUUGGUCAAUGGCCGAGAGGCUGAACCAGCCAAGUCGCGUGAAGGAAGAAGGAUCUAUGGUUUGUAAACUUCUUUUAUAGGGGAAUAAGUGGAGGACGUGUCCUUUUUGUAUGUACCCUAUGAAUAAGCAUCGGCUAACUCCGUGCCAGCAGCCGCGGUAUACGGAGAUGC
rnacentral:rRNA from 1 species